CCCACCAAGCCUCUCAACGAUGCUCAAAUGCGUGGGG
rfam:Prevotella sp. CAG:1092 genomic scaffold, scf73